GCAGGCGCGCAAUUACCCAAUCCCGACACGGGGAGGUAGUGACAAUAAAUACUGAUACAGGGCUCUUUUGGGUCUUGUAAUUGGAAUGAGUACAAUUUAAAUCCCUUAACGAGGAACAAUUGGAGGGCAAGUCUGGUGCCAGCAGCCGCGGUAAUUCCAGCUCCAAUAGCGUAUAUUAAAGUUGUUGUGGUUAAAAAGCUCGUAGUUGAACCUUGGGCCUGGCUGGCCGGUCCGCCUCACCGCGUGUACUGGUCCGGCCGGGCCUUUCCCUCUGUGGAACCCCAUGCCCUUCACUGGGUGUGGCGGGGAAACAGGACUUUUACUUUGAAAAAAUUAGAGUGCUCCAGGCAGGCCUAUGCUCGAAUACAUUAGCAUGGAAUAAUAGAAUAGGACGUGUGGUUCUAUUUUGUUGGUUUCUAGGACCGCCGUAAUGAUUAAUAGGGACAGUCGGGGGCAUCAGUAUUCAAUUGUCAGAGGUGAAAUUCUUGGAUUUAUUGAAGACUAACUACUGCGAAAGCAUUUGCCAAGGAUGUUUUCAUUAAUCAGGAACGAAAGUUAGGGGAUCGAAGACGAUCAGAUACCGUCGUAGUCUUAACCAUAAACUAUGCCGACUAGGGAUCGGACGAUGUUAUUUUUUGACUCGUUCGGCACCUUACGAGAAAUCAAAGUGCUUGGGCUCCAGGGGGAGUA
rnacentral:rRNA from 1 species